AUCUUAUUUUCGUUAUAACCAUACAGAUUAACAGACGCGUCCACUGCGGACAGUUACCGAGACUCGAGAGCUGGCAUACAAUAGUAAUUGUUGUGUAAACAAACAAAUACUUCUUAGUUCUUGAUAUGUGAAUAUACGGACACUGUUUGUGCUUGGGGCAUAAUGGAUCGCUUGAUACUGAUAAGAACGAUUGCCCUGUUGCUAUUUAUAAUGGCGGCGGUGAGUGACGUCACGGGAUUCAUUCUACCGACCUCCACCAAAACUGGACACGAAAACGACACUAAACAAAUAUCAGAGGACUAUGUGAAAUAUAGUUACAUUAUAACCACAUAUUUGUAACAUUGUGUAGAAAGUAGUCCAGACAAUAUUUAGUUUAUUUGAGUGUUUGUAGAGAAUAGGUAACAAAAUAGUGGACCGAUUUUAACCAUUUAUUCAUUAACUAGCUGACACCGCGCGGUUUCACCCGCGUGGUUGCCGUUUCCGUGGGAGUACGGGAUAAUACAUAGCCUAUAGCCUUCCUCGAUAAAUGGGCUAUCUAACAUUGAAAGAUUUUUUCAAAUCGGACCCGUAGUUCCUGAAUUGCGUUCAAUUAAACAAACUUUUCAGCUUUAUAAUAUUAGUAUAGAUACAAAGCUACAUUAUCAGCGAGUAAUUUAGGCUAUAUUUUAUAUCCGUAUUCCCACGGGAACGGGAACUACGUGGGUGAAAUUGCGCGGCGUUUGCUUGUAUAAUAAAAUUAAUGUACGUAUUUAUUGCAUAACAAUGAUGACCUAACGACCUACCUAAUGUCAGCCACUGACGAUCAAGUAAGCUCACAUGCCUGCAGGGCUAACGGCUUGAUGUGAGCUUACUUGAUCGUCAGUGGCUGACACAAUCAUUCUAAACUCAAACCAAUUACCAUAAACACGACUCGCAAAAGGUUACCCUUCUGUCAAAAUUAUAUUUUGAUCAUGAUCAUGAAACUGCGUCUACAGAAUCGAUGUUUCAUUGUGUUAAAAUUACACUUGUGUGUAUAACGAUUUGUGUGUAGUGUUCCUUACACACAGGAUAUAUUUAUUGGUGUUAAUAUAUGUAAAUAUUUUCGAUGUGUGAGUUUACCUCGCCCCUCUCAAAAAAAACAAACAAUUUUGUUGGUGAAUUUUAGUGCGAUACAAGUCCAAUAGAAGGUAAUUGGUCUGAGGAGGUCUCAUCUAUAUAAAUAUAUCUAUGUACCAGUGGCGAAGGAUAGAAUUUUGACGAAGGUAAGCCGUCCCAAAGAUACAAACUGCGGUUUCUCAUACAAAUAAUCAUUACAAUAAUGAACAUGUAGGUAUUUAAAAUUUGAUUUUAAAAGGUAACCCGACGAGAAUUGACCUGUAUGGAUUCUUCGCCGCUGCUAUGUACCUAAGGCAGUUUUAUUUAUUUUCAAUGUGAAGAACAGCAACUAAUUAUUAAUAUUAUUACAAGUAUAGAGCAUUAGGGAGCAAGGGUCAAGGAAUAUGUUGACAUUUGUAACUAUGUUUAAUUAAUAUAUGUAUGACUUUGUACCUACUAUUGCAAUGUGACUGAUUCAAACUGGCCUGUGAUGUAAAUAAAUAAUAUUGUGUACAUAUAUUUUGUGUAAUUUACUCAUCAUAGUACAGAAUUAGGCGGCCGAUUAUUUUGACGGCCUCUGUGGCGCAGUGGUAUGCGCCGUGGACUUACAAGGCGAAGAUCCUGGGUUCGAUCCCCGGCUGGGCCGAUUGAGGUUUUCUUAAUUGGUCCAGGUCUGGCUGGUGGGAGGCUUCGGUCGUGGCUAGUUACCACCCUACCGAUAAAGACGUACCGCCAAGCGAUUUAGCGUUCCGGUACGAUGUCGUGUGAAAACCGAAAGGAGUGUGGAUUUUCAUCCACCUCCUAACAAGUUAGCCCGCUUCCAUCUUUAAUUGCAUCUUCACUUACCAUCAGGUGAGAUUGUAGUGGGCUUACUUGUAAAGAAUAAAAAAAAAAAGGUUCGAUUCCCGAAAAAAACUUCCUAUAGCUAUAUAUUUAUGAUAGCCUUAGUCUACUGAGGAAAUUGAUGUAAAGGUCUAAAGGAAAGUCAUCGCAGCAGAAAAACAUUGUAAAAGUAUUUAGAGUGAUAUAAUCAAGGGCAUGACAUCGAAAACUGUAAUGAUAACACUUAGUUUAUAGUCUGGCAAGUUCGGUGAUGAAACCCCCAUGAUAUGCGGGCGACGGGGGAAAAGACGGCUUGAGCGUGAAAUCGUGCGUGCGGGGAAGUGAGAUGCAUCAGUCGUGGGCUUUUCAUUCAUCACUACACGCCCCCGGCCUGCGCGGACCAUCGGGAGUGUUACGAACGAAGUUUCCAAGCUAUAGCAAAUAUAGCAAUCACUCAGAUACACAUAUAAUAAUAUUAUGUUUCUGUAUAGCUGACAGUCUUUUUAAACACCAACGCACCUAUCCAAGACUGUCUACAACAACCAACGCAAAGCCGUCAUAAUAAAAUAGAGAAUCUAUUAAUAGAUGUAUGUAAAAUAAUGAUUUUAUCAAAUGCAUUUGACCAUUCCAUUAUUUUCCAAUAUUCCUUGAAAAAGCUUUUAGGUAAUAGUUUUCUAUAUAAAUCAUUAUAUCAAAAGAAUUUGUCAGAAUCAAGUAAUCACCUAUAAUCACCAUAAUACUAGACUAUAAUAUAAAACAUGUCUCGUUUUUUCUUACAUUAUUCAUUCAGACACCAUUUAUUUUAAGUGAUUCGAACAAUUCGCAAAAGUUUAACAAAAAAUGUCCUUACUCGUGUAUUGUGUUUUAUGGCUAUAUAGCGGCAUCGUUUUUGGAGAAAAUGUUAUCCAUACUGAAUCAAAAAUUGGCAAAAGUUUAGAUGGUAUAUUAGAUAUUAAUGAAACAGGAGGAAUAAAAUCUGAACCCAAAGAUGACAAUGAUAAAAGUCAUAUUAUAAUGAAAUAUGUACAAGAAAACGCAAAUGAAAAAACAUCAGAAAAUAUAAUAGAUAAUACCAUAGAUGUGCCUGUAAACAUUAUGACAAUAAUAUCUAAAGGAAAAACAGGAAAUACAAAUGGUCAUGAGAGAAAAAACGUACAAGACCUCCCUGUACUAGUGACAGAAAACACUAAAAAUAAGCCAGAAAAUACAGCAACAACGUUGUUAAGUAGUUCUGACCAAAAAGACACAGAUGUACAACUAAAAGGUGAAAGUAACAAAACUUUAAAUGAUGUAGCUAAUAAUAAGAUUAUAUCCAUAGAAAAAGAUAACAUCAGAAAACGUAACACCAGAGCUACAAAUGACGAAUCAAUGGUUGCAAAUAACAAUAAUUUAUUAAGUCUUUUGCUGGAUAUAAUAAAUGGACUCAUGCAAUUCAGUCCUUUAAGUUUAUCACAGCAAAGCUUCGAUAUGGUGUCAAAGAUUUUCGAAUCAUUUUUAGCAGUAAUUUUUGGACCUAACAUACAUAUUCUCUGGCCGAUACUUGCCAGAGUAAUUGUUACGUUUGUUAAGUAAGUAAAUUAAUUUAACGCAACGCUUUAGUACUUUCUACUAUCACUUAAUUACAUACUCGUAGUUUUUCGUUUCACCUGAUGGUUGUAGAAAGGUUACAUCAUCAUCAUUAUUUUUAUGUUGUAAAUUUUGUUUUAACUAGCUGACUCGAAAAACUUUGGGAUGGACAACCCUUAUUCAUUAAAGGAGAAUGGAAAAUAUAUGUUUGCCAAUCUCAGAUCUACCCGAUAUGCACACAAAACUUCAUAAUAAUCGGACCAGCCAUUUCAAAACAACCGCCGCGCCGCGACACGAGAAAUUUAUAUAUUAGAUUUUUAGCAAUUAAUUUAUUUUUAUUUUUAUAUAGAUUGAUUUUUUUACUACACGUAUUGUUGUUAUUGUAAAGAAUAAGACUGAUUUAGUAGACAUUAUUUUUUACAUUUUAUAAAAAUAAAAACAAUACAUUAGAAUAGAAACCUGUCAAUAGAAACGUGGCAACUAAAAUAAUUAUGAAUUAUUAUUGUGAAACUAUUUUUUACGAUUAAGCGUGAAUGCUGUGUGAUUAAAUAAUGCUUUAUAAUUUUAUAAUGUUUUGAAUAAUAAUUAUAUUAAUUGUAUUUCAUCGUUUUUCAGAUUACUGACGUGAUAAGGCUACACAUUUUAAAAAGUUUGGAUAUACAUAUAAAUAAAAGUGCAGACCCGAGGAUCUGUCCUUGAAAAGUC